rnacentral:rRNA from 2 species
AGAGUUUGAUCCUGGCUCAGAGUGAACGCUGGCGGCGUGCCUAAUACAUGCAAGUCGAACGAUGAAGCUUCUAGCUUGCUAGAGUGCUGAUUAGUGGCGCACGGGUGAGUAACGCAUAGGUCAUGUGCCUCUUAGUUUGGGAUAGCCAUUGGAAACGAUGAUUAAUACCAGAUACUCCCUACGGGGGAAAGAUUUAUCGCUAAGAGAUCAGCCUAUGUCCUAUCAGCUUGUUGGUAAGGUAAUGGCUUACCAAGGCUAUGACGGGUAUCCGGCCUGAGAGGGUGAACGGACACACUGGAACUGAGACACGGUCCAGACUCCUACGGGAGGCAGCAGUAGGGAAUAUUGCUCAAUGGGGGAAACCCUGAAGCAGCAACGCCGCGUGGAGGAUGAAGGUUUUAGGAUUGUAAACUCCUUUUGUUAGAGAAGAUAAUGACGGUAUCUAACGAAUAAGCACCGGCUAACUCCGUGCCAGCAGCCGCGGUAAUACGGAGGGUGCAAGCGUUACUCGGAAUCACUGGGCGUAAAGAGCGCGUAGGCGGGAUAGUCAGUCAGGUGUGAAAUCCUAUGGCUUAACCAUAGAACUGCAUUUGAAACUACUAUUCUAGAGUGUGGGAGAGGUAGGUGGAAUUCUUGGUGUAGGGGUAAAAUCCGUAGAGAUCAAGAGGAAUACUCAUUGCGAAGGCGACCUGCUAGAACAUUACUGACGCUGAUUGCGCGAAAGCGUGGGGAGCAAACAGGAUUAGAUACCCUGGUAGUCCACGCCCUAAACGAUGGAUGCUAGUUGUUGGAGGGCUUAGUCUCUCCAGUAAUGCAGCUAACGCAUUAAGCAUCCCGCCUGGGGAGUACGGUCGCAAGAUUAAAACUCAAAGGAAUAGACGGGGACCCGCACAAGCGGUGGAGCAUGUGGUUUAAUUCGAAGAUACACGAAGAACCUUACCUAGGCUUGACAUUGAGAGAAUCCGCUAGAAAUAGUGGAGUGUCUAGCUUGCUAGACCUUGAAAACAGGUGCUGCACGGCUGUCGUCAGCUCGUGUCGUGAGAUGUUGGGUUAAGUCCCGCAACGAGCGCAACCCCCUUUCUUAGUUGCUAACAGGUCAUGCUGAGAACUCUAAGGAUACUGCCUCCGUAAGGAGGAGGAAGGUGGGGACGACGUCAAGUCAUCAUGGCCCUUACGCCUAGGGCUACACACGUGCUACAAUGGGGUGCACAAAGAGAAGCAAUACUGCGAAGUGGAGCCAAUCUUCAAAACGCCUCUCAGUUCGGAUUGUAGGCUGCAACUCGCCUGCAUGAAGCUGGAAUCGCUAGUAAUCGCAAAUCAGCCAUGUUGCGGUGAAUACGUUCCCGGGUCUUGUACUCACCGCCCGUCACACCAUGGGAGUUGUGUUUGCCUUAAGUCAGGAUGCUAAACCAGCUACUGCCCACGGCACACACAGCGACUGGGGUGAAGUCGUAACAAGGUAACCGUAGGUGAACCUGCGGUUG